rnacentral:rRNA from 1 species
ACUCAAAGGAAUUGACGGGGGCCCGCACAAGCAGCGGAGCAUGUGGCUUAAUUCGAAGCAACGCGAAGAACCUUACCUAGGCUUGACAUGUACGGAAAAGCUGCAGAGAUGUAGUGUCCUUCGGGGCCGUACACAGGUGGUGCAUGGUUGUCGUCAGCUCGUGUCGUGAGAUGUUGGGUUAAGUCCCGCAACGAGCGCAACCCUCGUCCUAUGUUGCCAGCGCGUAAUGGCGGGAACUCGUAGGAGACUGCCGGGGACAACUCGGAGGAAGGUGGGGAUGAUGUCAAAUCAUCAUGCCCCUUACGUCUAGGGCUGCACACAUGCUACAAUGGCUGGUACAAAGGGCUGCGAACCUGCGAGGGUGAGCCAAUCCCAAAAAGCCAGUCUCAGUUCGGAUUGGAGUCUGCAACUCGACUCCAUGAAGUCGGAGUUGCUAGUAAUCCCAGAUCAGCAUUGCUGGGGUGAAUACGUUCCCGGGCCUUGUACACACCGCCCGU